rnacentral:rRNA from 1 species
AUUGAACGCUGGCGGCAUGCCUUACACAUGCAAGUCGAACGGUAACAGGUUAAGCUGCCGAGUGGCGAACGGGUGAGUAAUGUAUCGGAACGUGCCCAGUCGUGGGGGAUAACUGCUCGAAAGAGCAGCUAAUACCGCAUACGACCUGAGGGUGAAAGCGGGGGAUCGCAAGACCUCGCGCGAUUGGAGCGGCCGAUAUCAGAUUAGGUAGUUGGUGAGGUAAAGGCUCACCAAGCCGACGAUCUGUAGCUGGUCUGAGAGGACGACCAGCCACACUGGGACUGAGACACGGCCCAGACUCCUACGGGAGGCAGCAGUGGGGAAUUUUGGACAAUGGGCGCAAGCCUGAUCCAGCCAUGCCGCGUGCGGGAAGAAGGCCUUCGGGUUGUAAACCGCUUUUGUCAGGGAAGAAAAGGUUCUGGCUAAUACCUGGGACCCAUGACGGUACCUGAAGAAUAAGCACCGGCUAACUACGUG